rnacentral:tRNA from 1 species
UUAUCAUCAAUCCCCAAAAUUAAUAUUUUAAUUAAACUACCUCCUG